rnacentral:lncRNA from 1 species
GGGGGUUGCCAUGGUGAUGCCCAGUCAACAGAAUGGAGAAAAGAGAAAUUUGGUUUGAAAUGAAAUUUGAGUCUUGAGAGAGGGCGGAUAUGAAGGAGACUCAAACAAGCCACGUGGGAGCAUCUGAAGGCCUGGAGAUGAGGGCCUGUUGCAUGGCUGUGAAAAUUUGGCCUUUAAAAUAACUAGGCAUGGGCCAGAAAUCCCAGCCGGCAGCUGCGACCACCAACUCCCCAACACUGAGAUCUGACGUGCCCCCAGAUUCCCUGGGCUCAGAAAACAGGACACGCCGAGGACAUAGAAGCCUGGCACCAGGUGCAGAGCUUCCGCCACCAAGGAUGUUCCAGCAGACACCACACAGCCGCGUGGCCUGGACUCGAAGCCAUCGAAGUUUUCAAUCUCUAAGUCCUUAUUUCUUGCCAGCCCAACUAUUAAUAAAUCAAAAGCUCCUUGGAGCGUUGGUUUUUAUUUUCUUCUCCCCUAGAACAGUGUGGAAGGAAUGAGUACCUGCUGCCCACGGCCAAGAGACCCCUGACCCCUGGUGACGAGGAAGCUCUUGCUUAUCACCCAGCCCCAGAUGGUCUGGCAUUCACGAGCCCAGUCAUCACUUUCUAAUCAGGAGAAGUCUUAUCCUUUUAUGGUUUUGUUCCCACCCUUGUGAGGUCAGCUGAGG